rnacentral:lncRNA from 1 species
UUUUUUAUUUUUUGUAGAGAUGGGGUCUCACUCUGUUGCCCAGGCUGGAGUGCUGUGUGGCUCAAUCACUGCUCACUGCAGCCUCGACCUCUUGGGCUCAAUGACCCUCCCACCUCAGCCUCCCGAAUAGCUGAGACUACAGGUGCACACCACCAAACCUGGCAAAUUUUUUAUUUUUUGCAGAGAUGGGGUCUCCCUCUGCUGCCUUGGCUGGUCUUGAACUCCUGGGUACAAGUGAUCCUCCCACUUCGGCUUCCCAAAGUGCUAAGAUUUAAAAAAAAAAACUUCCUUUUAACAGCUGCUGCCACCCUCACAACCUUGACAUUGGACAAGUUGUGGUUGCUUCUCAUAUGUUAGAGUCUGGGCAAUAGAUGUCUCUAGCUUAACCACUCUUAGUCAGCCUUCGGGCAAUCUGACAAAGGGAGGUCUUGUUGAACCCACCCUGAAACUGAAAACUUUUGAACAAGGCAAAUACAGAUCCAAGUUUGUGAACUCGCCCAUCUUAGAAAGUGUUAUUUGCAGGUGAGUUAAUGAGUAGAGCUCAAAUGGAAAUCUCUGUGCUUCCCACUCAGCUGCCGGCUGAGCCACCUUCUCCUGGUGGGAGGCAUGCUCUCUGCAGUCUGCAGGGAUGGUGAGGCCUCCAAGUGCUAGUCAUUUAAUCUUGCAGGUGAUUAAAGUUUUAGCAUUUCUUACUCAGGCACUUUAUAGCUAUUAGGCACUGUGCUUACAUGUUCAACUUCACUUCUAAAGAGCUUUUGUGUUGCCAUAGAAAUUAAUUAGUAGUAUAUUUACACCAUAAAAUGGCAAAAGAGCUCUUUAAUAAGGACCUUAGGGAGCUGAAAUCUUUCCCUCAGCAAGGACAGAAGACAGACUUAGAGAAAAAGCUCAUCAUGAAUUCCUAGCCUGUGACCAGGGCAGCAGUUUACCAAGUUGGUGCCAUCUACAUGGUUUUGUUGAUCACCCAAGGUGGACAAAUGAAAGAAAAUCUGCAUUAUAAAAGAUGAAAUGAGGUUGUGAGGAAGUGACCCAGAGCCUCUCACUAUGUGUUAGGCAUAGUACAUGCUGGAUAAACUGUUUAAAUUAUUCCAUGGAAAAGCAACAUAUCCAUCACUCAAAUGAGCCUAGGUAUUUUACAAGUGCUUAAGGAAACUUGGAAACAGUAUACUUUAGCAUGCAGCUGAAAUAUCUCACUUUCCAUUUUUUAAAUGUUGAUUAAAGAUACUUAUUGCUUAUAUGAAGUGCCAAGUUAACUUCAACUCUCUUUAAGCUUUCAGAUUCCAAAUUAGUUAAGUCUGAAUUAACAGGGACUGUA